AUCCAGCUGAAGAGUUCCAAAUAGAACGAAACGCACAUAUUGGAU
rnacentral:hammerhead_ribozyme from 1 species